AUCUCAGAACAAGAAAGAAAAAAGGAGAGAGAAGGAAGGAAGGAAGGAAGGAAGGAAGGAAGGAAGGAAGGAAGGAAAAGAAAGGAGAAAAGGAAAAGAAAAAAAAGGAAAAGAAAAGGAGAGAAAAAGAAAAAAGGAAAAAGAAAAAGAAAGAAAAAGAAAAGAAAGAAAGAAAGAAAGAAAGAAAGAAAGAAAAAAAGAAAGAAAAGAAGAAAAAGAAAGAAAGAAAGAAAGAAAGAAAGAAAGAAAGAAAGAAAGAAAGAAAGAAAAAGAAAGAAAGACAAUUCUAUUAUACUUUCUGAAAGGACUCAUUAGACUACAAGAGGAAGUGUGCAGAGGAUAAUUGCAUAAGAACAAGCCAAAUACUGCAAUAUUACUGUAGGUCAGAAGAAGAAGGCUAUGAAAUGUGGGCACCUACACACAUCACGGCUACUAAGGAGAAAGGAAAGAUAUUCAUCCAGUGAAAGCAGGUGAGCAGAACAGCAUCUUCUCAGCCCUUCCUAACCAAGAUGGAGGUCUAAGAAGUCCUGGGUGUUCUAAGCAACCCAAGGGAUCCCUUCUGAACUCCCCUUUUCCAAGACGAUAGCCAUUCUGCGAAGGGUGAAGAUGGCCAAUUGGGAACCGCACAGAUAGACUGUGAAGCAUACACACCCUUCGGACUGACCAAUAUAUGGGCUACAGUUCUUCACACUGGCAACGUAAGAAGAAAACAUUAUAAAAAUCAGUGAUGGAUUCACUCUGUGUACUAAGGGCCUCUAUCACCUCCUGCAUUAACCACCACCUCGCAUUCCCAUCUGGAACCCCUGGAAGCUCAUUUAUUAGUGCAAUGUCAUGGGUUCUCUUUAGUUUCUCAACUCAGCACGCUGGUUGGAGGCAGCUGGGUGCUCUCUCCAUAAAAUGUGUGACCUAGCACAGGCUGGGAGGGCAAACUUGCUCCCUCUGGACUGUGUAUCCUUGUGAGCAGAGUGACAAACUGCUUGUUGAACAAGUUUGUGAAAAUUUGCUGCAGAGUCAUUUGGGGUGGGCCACUACUGAUAAGACUUACAGAUUGUGAAUGGGAACAGAAAAUCUCAGUGAGACAGUACAAGAAUUAAUCUUUUUGAUGUGUAAUAAUAAUUUGUCGUGAAAUAAAAACACACCAAGUUUGAAGGCAAUUUUACAGGAGUGAUUGCUCUGACAGAAUCAGCAUGUGGAGCUGUAGGUAUUAUAGCAAGCAGCAAGGGAAGCGCUAGCCUAGGGGAAAUGUGCACAUAGCCAUCAGCAGGGCAGGCACAAGACAAAAAAGCUAAAAAUUCAGGUGAACUUUUCAGCAGAAUCAUAGACAGUAUUACAGCCGAUGGCAAUAGAAGUGUUUACCUGACAGAAAAGCAGUAUGUGCCACUUCAAGUUGGACAGUGAUGCACAAACCAAUGCAGUACGAGAAUCUAAGUUAUUCACAGUAACAGAGAAGUCAAAGGAAGAAGAUAAAAGUCCAUUACUGAGUAAAAGUAUGUCAGUUCUACAGCUUCCUCAAGAGAAUGUCUUCACUGGGGAAGCAAAAGAGAAAAACAGCUUAAGAAAAAUCUCAGGACAUUUUCCAUAGCAUAGUGACAAAUUGCACCUUUUCCAGUUUGUUAGCUAUUAUAUAUAUCUCCAGUAGGGAAAGGAUCAGUGGUACAUAUUUAUCUUUCUCCGUUUACCCCAGGAUGAAAGCCUGUAGAAAAGUAUGUAUGCCUUUUAGCACAAGGUGGCUGGUGCUACAUAUUCCCAGCAUCUGUUGCCAGUAUACAGGAGAAAUUUAUAUGGGAUUUUGUUUAAAGGUACUAGAAAGGUGAUUUAUCCUGUGUUGAAUAAAAAUACCAAGAAGAAUACGGCAAGGUUAGUUAGGCAUGGAUAAACCCUUGAGAAGGACUGAAGAUAACCUAUGUUGCCUGAAAAUUAAAAGCGACACCGGAAAACCUAAGACUCUACACACAUGCCAAAGUCAAACUGAAUCAAGCAAAAGCUCAGAAAACAAAGGCUCCUCAAAAGUAAAGUAGGCAUUGGUUUACAUGGGCUGGAAAAACAAAUCUAUAUAUCCUAUUUUUCUUUCUUCGCUGAGCUAGCCCAAAUAUAAGACAUUACAGAUGAGUGUAUGUGUCAAAAGCAUUGAAUUAGUUGUGACGCAGCUGACAUAACUAUAACUGACAGCAACAUUAUUUAGCUUAAGUAGUUUGCAGUUGAGUAUAGACUUAGACAUAAUCUUGCCAACGGAACAGUUCCCACCCUAAUACUUGGGUAGGAAAUGGUGCCAGAUUAAUAAAGAUCUUAUUGAAAAGAAUCCAGAGCCAGAACCUAAUCCACAUUUAGAACAACUGAGUUCCAGGAUAGCAUCAGUGAUGCACGGAGCUGUCACCUAAGGACUUUUUUUUUCUUCCUAUGGAAAGCUAAAAUUCAGACUAGCUACAUUAUUAGACAUUGGAGACUUGCAG